UAGGAAAUCAAAACGUUCCUGAAGGUAG
rnacentral:piRNA from 1 species